rnacentral:rRNA from 1 species
GACGAACGCUGGCGGCAGGCCUAACACAUGCAAGUCGAGCGAGGACUUCGGUCCUAGCGGCGGACGGGGGAGUAACGCGUGGGGACGUGCCCUUUGCUUCGGAAUAGCCCUGGGACACUGGGAGUAAUACCGGAUGAGCGCUUUGGGGGAAAGAUUUAUCGGCGAAGGAUCGUCCAGCGUUGGAUUAGGUAGUUGGUGGGGUAAUGGCCUCCCAGGCCGACGAUCCAUAGCUGGGUUGAGAGGAUGAUCAGCAACACUGGGACUGAGACGCGGCCCAGAAUCCUACGGGAGGCAGCAGUGGGGAACCGUAGACAAUGGGGUAAACCCUGAUCGACCCCUGCCGGGUGAGCGAUGAAGGCAUUAGGGUUGUAAAGUUCUUUUAGCUGGGAAGAUAAUGACGGUACCAGAAGAAGAAGCCCCGGCUAACUACGUG